GAUGAACGCUGGCGGCGUGCCUAAUACAUGCAAGUCGAGCGAACAGAUGAGGAGCUUGCUCCUCUGACGUUAGCGGCGGACGGGUGAGUAACACGUGGAUAACCUACCUAUAAGACUGGGAUAACUUCGGGAAACCGGAGCUAAUACCGGAUAAUAUAUUGAACCGCAUGGUUCAAUAGUGAAAGACGGUUUUGCUGUCACUUAUAGAUGGAUCCGCGCCGCAUUAGCUAGUUGGUAAGGUAACGGCUUACCAAGGCAACGAUGCGUAGCCGACCUGAGCGGGUGAUCGGCCACACUGGAACUGAGACACGGUCCAGACUCCUACGGGAGGCAGCAGUAGGGAAUCUUCCGCAAUGGGCGAAAGCCUGACGGAGCAACGCCGCGUGAGUGAUGAAGGUCUUCGGAUCGUAAAACUCUGUUAUUAGGGAAGAACAAAUGUGUAAGUAACUAUGCACGUCUUGACGGUACCUAAUCAGAAAGCCACGGCUAACUACGUG
rnacentral:rRNA from 1 species